GACGAACGCUGGCGGCGUGCUUAACACAUGCAAGUCGAACGCUGAAGCUCAGCUUUUGUUGGGUGGAUGAGUGGCGAACGGGUGAGUAACACGUGAGUAACCUGCCCCCUUCUUUGGGAUAACGCCCGGAAACGGGUGCUAAUACUGGAUAUUCACUGAUCUUCGCAUGGGGGUUGGUGGAAAGGUUUUUUCUGGUGGGGGAUGGGCUCGCGGCCUAUCAGCUUGUUGGUGGGGUGAUGGCCUACCAAGGCUUUGACGGGUAGCCGGCCUGAGAGGGUGACCGGUCACAUUGGGACUGAGAUACGGCCCAGACUCCUACGGGAGGCAGCAGUGGGGAAUAUUGCACAAUGGGCGAAAGCCUGAUGCAGCGACGCCGCGUGAGGGAUGGAGGCCUUCGGGUUGUAAACCUCUUUCGCUCAUGGUCAAGCCGCAACUGUGGGUUGUGGUGAGGGUAGUGGGUAAAGAAGCGCCGGCUAACUACGUGCCAGCAGCCGCGGUAAUACGUAGGGCGCGAGCGUUGUCCGGAAUUAUUGGGCGUAAAGGGCUUGUAGGCGGUUGGUCGCGUCUGCCGUGAAAUCCUCUGGCUUAACUGGGGGCGUGCGGUGGGUACGGGCUGGCUUGAGUGCGGUAGGGGAGACUGGAACUCCUGGUGUAGCGGUGGAAUGCGCAGAUAUCAGGAGGAACACCGGUGGCGAAGGCGGGUCUCUGGGCCGUUACUGACGCUGAGGAGCGAAAGCGUGGGGAGCGAACAGG
rnacentral:rRNA from 1 species